rnacentral:rRNA from 1 species
GCAGUGCGCAGCUACCAUGCAGUCGAACGGAAGGCCCUGCUUGCAGGGUACUCGAGUGGCGAACGGGUGAGUAACACGUGGGUGAUCUGCCCUGCACUUCGGGAUAAGCCUGGGAAACUGGGUCUAAUACCGGAUAGGAGCCAUUUUUAGUGUGAUGGUUGGAAAGUUUUUUCGGUGUAGGAUGAGCUCGCGGCCUAUCAGCUUGUUGGUGGGGUAAUGGCCUACCAAGGCGGCGACGGGUAGCCGGCCUGAGAGGGUGGACGGCCACAUUGGGACUGAGAUACGGCCCAGACUCCUACGGGAGGCAGCAGUGGGGAAUAUUGCACAAUGGGCGCAAGCCUGAUGCAGCGACGCCGCGUGGGGGAUGACGGCCUUCGGGUUGUAAACUCCUUUCGCUAGGGACGAAGCUUUUUGUGACGGUACCUAGAUAAGAAGCACCGGCUAACUACGUGCCAGCAGCCGCGGUAAUACGUAGGGUGCGAGCGUUGUCCGGAAUUACUGGGCGUAAAGGGCUCGUAGGUGGUUUGUCGCGUCGUCUGUGAAAUUCCGGGGCUUAACUCCGGGCGUGCAGGCGAUACGGGCAUAACUUGAGUACUGUAGGGGUAACUGGAAUUCCUGGUGUAGCGGUGAAAUGCGCAGAUAUCAGGAGGAACACCGAUGGCGAAGGCAGGUUACUGGGCAGUUACUGACGCUGAGGAGCGAAAGCAUGGGUAGCGAACAGGAUUAGAUACCCUGGUAGUCCAUGCCGUAAACGGUGGGCGCUAGGUGUGAGGGUCUUUUCACGACUUUCGUGCCGUAGCUAACGCAUUAAGCGCCCCGCCUGGGGAGUACGGCCGCAAGGCUAAAACUCAAAGGAAUUGACGGA